GGGUGACGUUGCAUGUUCGUCUCUCUGCUUCCAUGAUCAUCGCAGCGUGGUUGCUUAGUGGGGCCGCAUCUAAAGCUGCUGUCGCCACGGUGUCUGGUGACGACCUUGCCGUUACAGGCUGCUGUCGCCACGGUGUCUGAUGACGACCUUGACAUGUUGGAUGACAAUUAUCGCGUGGAGGCGGUCAGUGAGGCAGGACAGUGCGUGUGUCGCAUCGCAGCGCCAUCUCCCGGGCUCUGCUCCGCGGACAGCCAAUUCCAGCAGCUCAAACUUCUCGGCCAGAGGGUUCCAACGUGAGCAGGGACGUGGGUGAGCUGAUGCAUGGAGUGAACGGUCAGUUCGUGGAGCGUUUCAAUCGACUGAG